AAACUAACAAGGAUUCCCCUAGUAGCGGCGAGUGAAGCGGGAAGAGCUCAAAUUUGUAAUCUGGCGUCUUUCAGGCGUCCGAGUUGUAAUCUAUAGAAGUGUUUUCCGUGCUGGACCAUGUCCAAGUCCCUUGGAACAGGGUAUCAAAGAGGGUGACAAUCCCGUACUUGACAUGACCACCAGUGCUCUGUGAUACACUUUCUACGAGUCGAGUUGUUUGGGAAUGCAGCUCAAAAUGGGUGGUAAAUUCCAUCUAAAGCUAAAUAUUGGCGAGAGACCGAUAGCGAACAAGUACCGUGAGGGAAAGAUGAAAAGCACUUUGGAAAGAGAGUUAAACAGUACGUGAAAUUGUUGAAAGGGAAACGAUUGAAGUCAGUCGUGUUCAUUGGACUCAGCCGGUUUUCGGUGUAUUUCCUUUGAACGGGUCAACAUCAGUUUUGUCCGGUGGAUAAAGGCAGGAAGAAAGUGGCUCCCUCGGGAGUGUUAUAGCUUUCUGUCACAUACACUGGAGGAGACUGAGGACUGCAGCUCGCCUUUUGGCCGGGG
rnacentral:rRNA from 1 species